rnacentral:tRNA from 1 species
AGUCUUAUAUUCAUUUAUGAUAUUGAAUUGCAAAUUCAAAGGUAUACUCGGUAUUAAGGCUU